UGUAUCCCUGGUGCUGGAAUUGAAGGGU
rnacentral:piRNA from 1 species